GACGAACGCUGGCGGCGUGCUUAACACAUGCAAGUCGAACGGAAAGGCCUGCUUUCCCUUGUGGAUUGCGGGUACUCGAGUGGCGAACGGGUGAGUAACACGUGAGUGAUCUGCCCCCAACUUGGGUAUAAGCCUGGGAAACUGGGUCUAAUUCCCGAUAGGACUGCAGGGUGGUGCCUGUGGUGGAAAACGAUUUUCUAGUGGUUGGGGAUGAGCUCGCGGCCUAUCAGCUUGUUGGUGGGGUAAUGGCCUACCAAGGCGGCGACGGGUAGCCGGCCUGAGAGGGUGGACGGCCACAUUGGGACUGAGAUACGGUCCAGACUCCUACGGGAGGCAGCAGUGGGGAAUAUUGCACAAUGGGCGGAAGCCUGAUGCAGCGACGCCGCGUGGGGGAUGACGGCCUUCGGGUUGUAAACUCCUUUCGACCGCGAGGAAGCCACCUGGUUGGAAGGGUGGUGACGGUAGUGGUAGAAGAAGCACCGGCUAACUACGUG
rnacentral:rRNA from 1 species